rnacentral:rRNA from 1 species
GUACACGCUGUGACUAGCAUAUCAAUAAGCGGAGGAAAAGAAACUAACAAGGAUUCCCCUAGUAACGGCGAGUGAAGCGGGAAGAGCUCAAAUUUGAAAUCUUAAAGGGUUUCCCUUUACGAAUUGUAGUUUAAAGAAGUGUUUUCUGUUGAGGUUUUGGUAAAAGUUCUUUGGAAUAGGACAUCAUAGAGGGUGAGAAUCCCGUAUUUGACCUUUACUUUCAACUUUGUGAUACACUUUCAAAGAGUCGGAUUGUUUGGGAAUGCAGUCCAAAAUGGGUGGUAAAUUUCAUCUAAAGCUAAAUAUUGGCGAGAGACCGAUAGCGAACAAGUACUGUGAGGGAAAGAUGAAAAGAACUUUGAAAAGAGAGUUAAACAGUACGUGAAAUUGUCAAAAGGGAAGCGUUUGACACCAGUGUUGUUUUUCUGAAAAUCAAUUAAAGAACUGUUUAUGCUAAGCUGUUUAGACUUUAUCAGCUAAUCUGUUUAGUUUUGAGCUCUUCUUUAAUGCACUUUUCAGUUAACAAGUCAACAUCAAUUUCUUUUGCUGUAAAAAAGCUUGAGGAAGGUGGCUUGAGAUUCGUCUUAAGUGUUUAUAGCCUCUUGCCUAUGCAGUCGGAGAGAUUGAGGUCUGCAGCGUAGAUCCUUCGGGGCUAAAUGCAUUUGUGCUAAGUUAUAGCAUUUUAUAGACAACUUGUUGACUAUGAUUUGUCUUGUAGCUUACUCGCUUAUGUUAUUUUACCUACGCUUAGGAUGUUGAAGAUGUAGCACAUCAU